CCCCUAGAUGUUCUGGGCCGCACGCGCGCUACACUGAACAGUUCAACAAGUCUUAACCUUGGCCGAUAGGUCUGGGUAAUCUUUGAACGCUGUUCGUGAUUGGGAUAGACCUUUGCAAUUAUGGGUCUUCAACGAGGAAUUCCUAGUAAACGCAAGUCAUCAGCUUGCAUUGAUUACGUCCCUGCCCUUUGUACACACCGCCCGUCGCACCUACCGAUUGAAUGGUCCGGUGAAAUCUCCGGACGGCGGCUUGGUCGCUUGCGUCCGACUGCUGAAACUUGAUUAAACCAUAUCAUUUAGAGGAAGGUGAAGUCGUAACA
rnacentral:rRNA from 1 species